CAAGUCUCGUCAUCUGCCAGAAGGAGGGCACACGCAGCCCUCCCAUGACAGUGACUGGCAGCCGGCAGGGAGCUCGGAGCAGAGGGAGCAGCAGACUGCAAACUGCGCAUUGUUCUCUGGGGACAGAAAUUUUUCAGAGAUCGGGACUCAGAGGGAACCACUUCGGUUUUGUGUAAUAGAGAGGGAGACAGAGCACAGAAAGGCAAUUGGUACAGUUUUCGUGUGUAAGAUCCAGACUUGGAACAAUGGCAGGAAGCCUGGAAAGGGAUACUGGCAUCCAGUGUCACAUAACGAGGAAAUGACCAUUUCAACGAGAUCCUCCUGAUACAGAAGAGGAACAGAGCUCAAUGCAGGUGCCAAACAAAGGAGGAAAACAAACAAAAAACAAACCCAGGCCUGACCAGAAAUAAGAAAUCAGAGUUCUUCUGAAGAGACCAUAGAAGGACCCGAGACAGGAUACUUUAUGGAGAUCACGCUUCUCUCGGAACUUCCAUAUGGUGGGAAUCAAGAUUUAUCCUUCUUGACCUCUAGGUCUAUGAUGGCUGUUUUCAAAUUGGGGUGUCCCCAAAAGAAGGUAAUUCAAGGCUGAUUUUAAAAUUCUUUCCCACCUCCUUCUAAUAUCAUUGAUGGUAAAGUCAACUCUUGAUGGUUACCGUGACUCUGACGUGGCUUAGUGAGACCUCACGGACAACCUGAACCUCAGCUGCAAUGAUUUGUUAGCAGUCGGUACUCGGCUUGAAUUUAUCUCCUCCAUUCAUUCUGGGAUGAAGAUGCUGAUAAGCAAUGAGGAACAAGACACCACUAAAAUGAUGCAGGGCGAUGGAGCAAACAUAUUUCCCCCUAUUCCUCCUAAGUACAACUAAAGGCCCUGGACAUUAAUAUAUAAAACAAACAUAAGCAGACCCUGAAAGUUGGAGAGAAGGCAGACUGCCUACGGAUCUCAGAACUCAAGGAAUGAUAGAUGCAUUGAAUGUCAGCUCGCUGACUCUGCUGACCCCAGGUCAGGUCUACCAGCUGACUCAGUAUGAUGACGAAUCCUGAAGAUGGUCCUCUUAUGGGGGCUCUCUGCCAAACUCCAGGCCAUUAUAUUUAGCCUUGAGGCUGGAGCCGGGAAGAAGAAGGGGCCACAUCCCCUGCCCCUGUCCCCCAGUGAGGAAUUCCAUACAUGUCCUUUGGAAUUAUUAACCAGCAUGGCAUAAAUACUAGGCUGUAAGCCAGAAUAAAGAACACACAUUCUUAAGACUUCACCUUAACAGAGCACAGUGUCUUUGGUCAGCCACUGUCAUUCACAGAAAUAAAAAAUUCUCCUUUUGGACCUUUUGAACACUGCAUGUUCAAGGAGGACAGUUUCUCAACCUUUCACGAUGCCCAUUUGGACUGGAUCAUUCUUCCUUGUGGGGAGCUGGCCUGUACAUCGAAGGAUGUUUAGUAGCAACUCUGGUCUUUACUCACGAAAUGCCUAGUGGCAACAAUCAGAAUGUCUCCAGACACUGCCAAAUGUCCCCUGGCUUGGGGAAGGUGGGGACAAACUCACUUCCGGUUCAGAAUGCCUGCACAGUGCCGCUUAGGUGUUCUCGAUCUCCACAGUUCAUUGGCUGUCAUCCUUGGCUCCACCCGGCCCAGCCUCGCCCGGUGCAGAUCCAGCCAGGAAUCCAGGAGAGCUGGGCCCGUGGGCGCUUGUAUACAGAUGCCUGUGAAGAAGUAGGUGGGGAAGAGGCUCAAGUCCUAACCUCUGGCAAAGUUCAUAUUUGCUUCAUUUUCUGCCGAAUUCAGUUAAUUACCAUAAUCGUCAGCACAAUUACCAUGAUCACCAGAGACUUUUUUCUUUUUACCUAGUUCACCCUUAAAAAACUACACCAUCUGUUUAUUCCAGUGUGCUAUGCAAAGACUAUUUUUAAAAAAUUGAUUUCAGAGAGAGAAAAGAAGGGGGGGGGGAGAGAGAGAUCUAUUUGUUGUUCCACUUGUUUGUACACUCAUUGGUCG